AGCUCCAAUAGCGUAUAUUAAAGUUGCUGCAGUUAAAAAGCUCGUAGUUGCAUUUCCGAGGCAAGGGAUUAGUCCGACCUUUGGUGGGUAUUUAAUCCUCUUGCCUCGUCCUUGAGUGGUGCUUCUUGGUAUUAAGUUAUCGAGGAGAUAGCCGCUCAUCGUUUACUGUGAGAAAAUUAGAGUGUUCAAAGCAGGCUUAUGCCGUUGAAUAUAUUAGCAUGGAAUAAUAAGAUAGGACCUCGGUACUAUUUUGGUGGUUUGAGAACCAAGGUAAUGAUGAAUAGGGACAGUUGGGGGUAUUCGUAUUCAGUUGUCAGAGGUGAAAUUCUUAGAUUUACGGAAGACGAACUACUGCGAAAGCAUGUACCAAGGAUGUUUUCA
rnacentral:rRNA from 1 species